rnacentral:tRNA from 3 species
GAGCGCCGCGGCGAGGCGCGCCGGGUCGCUCUCGCCGAGCCGGCUGAACGGACGGGCCGGAUCGGCCAGAUCGAAAGCGGCGGCGCUCA